GAUGAACGCUGGCGGCGUGCCUAAUACAUGCAAGUCGAACGAUGAAGCCGGAGCUUGCUCUGGUGAAUUAGUGGCGAACGGGUGAGUAACACGUGAGUAACCUGCCCUUGACUCUGGGAUAACUGCGGGAAACUGUAGCUAAUACCGGAUACGACCCUCGGAGGCAUCUCCUGGGGGUGGAAAGAAUUUCGGUCAAGGAUGGACUCGCGGCCUAUCAGCUAGUUGGUGAGGUAAAGGCUCACCAAGGCGACGACGGGUAGCCGGCCUGAGAGGGUGACCGGCCACACUGGGACUGAGACACGGCCCAGACUCCUACGGGAGGCAGCAGUGGGGAAUAUUGCACAAUGGGCGCAAGCCUGAUGCAGCAACGCCGCGUGAGGGAUGACGGCCUUCGGGUUGUAAACCUCUUUUAGCAGGGAAGAAGCGAAAGUGACGGUACCUGCAGAAAAAGCACCGGCUAACUACGUGCCAGCAGCCGCGGUAA
rnacentral:rRNA from 1 species